rnacentral:snoRNA from 11 species
UGCCUUUGUGUUGCCCGUUCAUUAUUUUCUACAAUGAAUGUGGUGUCAGACAAGGCAUAUAUUAAGUCUAGUUGGCAUGUGUUUUAGAGUGGGUCAUACACCCUUCUCUUCAUUUCAGCUAGAACAUAC